rnacentral:rRNA from 1 species
UGGGGUAUUCAGCACAAUGGGGGAAACCCUGAUGCAGCGACGCCGCGUGAUUUAGAAGGCCUUCGGGUUGUAAAAAUCUUUUCUAUGGGAAGAAAAUGACAGUACCAUAGGAAUAAGGACCGGCUAAUUACGGGACAGCAGCCGCGGUAAUACGUAAGGUCAGAGCGUUGUCCGGAAUCAUUGGGCGUAAAGGGUACGUAGGCGGGUAAGCAAGUUAGAAGUGAAAUCCUAUAGCUCAACUAUAGUAAGCUUUUAAACCUACUCAACUUGAGGUAUGGAAGGGAAAGUGGAAUUCCUAGUCUAGCGGUGAAAUGCGCAGAUGUUAGGGGGAGUACCAGUGGCGAAGGCGACUUUCUGGCCAUAACCUGACGCUGCGCUACGAAAGCGUGGUUAGCAAACAGG